rnacentral:rRNA from 1 species
GCAGGCCGCCGCGUUCUCGUACGCUGCGUGCUAUCUGCCAUGCCAACCUUCACGUUCACGGCGCUGCGAAUACCAAAGAAGUUCAUAAAGGAGAUCGACAAGUCAAGACGGCGCUUCCUCUGGGUGGGAGACGAAGAAAUCUCGGGCGGCAAAUGCAAGGUUCGCUGGGCAUCAGUGACCAAGCCGGAGCAACUGGGCGGACUGGGCAUCCCUGACCUCAGCCGUUUUGCCCGGGGCUCUACGGAUGCGCUGGCUAUGGCUCUCCUGGAGGCAGCCAACCAGGCCCUGGGUUGGCACCGGGACGCCAUGCGACGCUGCUGA